rnacentral:rRNA from 1 species
GAUCCUGGCUCAGAUUGAACGCUGGCGGAACGCUUUACACAUGCAAGUCGAACGGUAACGCGGAGAGAAGCUUGCUUCUCUCCGGCGACGAGUGGCGAACGGGUGAGUAAUACAUCGGAACGUGUCCGCUCGUGGGGGACAACCAGCCGAAAGGUUGACUAAUACCGCAUGAGUUCUACGGAAGAAAGUAGGGGGACCCGCAAGGACCUCUCGCGAGCGGAGCGGCCGAUGACUGAUUAGCCGGUUGGUGAGGUAACGG